GACGAAGGUGGCGAGCGUUGUUCGGAAUCACUGGGCAUAAAGCGCACGUAGGCGGUGACGUAAGUCGGGUGUGAAAUCCCUCGGCCCAACCGAGGAACUGCGCCCGAUACUGCGUUGCUUGAGGACCAGAGGGGUGCAUGGAAUUUCCGGUGGAGCGGUGAAAUGCGUUGAUAUCGGAAGGAACUCCGGCGGCGAAAGCGAUGCACUGGCUGGUUUCUGACGCUGAGGUGCGAAAGCCAGGGGAGCAAACGGG
rnacentral:rRNA from 1 species